rnacentral:rRNA from 1 species
UUUCUUUGCUGGCGACCGGCGCACGGGUGAGUAACACGUAUCCAACCUGCCCUUUACUCGGGGAUAGCCUUUCGAAAGAAAGAUUAAUACCCGAUAGCAUAAUGAUUCCGCAUGGUUUCAUUAUUAAAGGAUUCCGGUAAAGGAUGGGGAUGCGUUCCAUUAGGUUGUUGGUGGGGUAACGGCCCACCAAGCCUUCGAUGGAUAGGGGUUCUGAGAGGAAGGUCUCCCACAUUGGAACUGAGACACGGUCCAA